ensembl:snRNA U4 U4 spliceosomal RNA
AGCUUUGCGCAGUGGCAGUAUUGUACCCAAUGAGGUUUAUCCGAGGCGUGAUUAUUGCUAAUUGAAAACCCAGUGCCCAUAACUC